GACGAACGCUGGCGGCGUGCUUAACACAUGCAAGUCGAACGGAAAGGCCCUGCUUUUGUGGGGUGCUCGAGUGGCGAACGGGUGAGUAACACGUGAGUAACCUGCCCUUGACUUUGGGAUAACUUCAGGAAACUGGGGCUAAUACCGCAUAGGAUCUCCUGCUGCAUGGUGGGCGUUGGUAAGUUUCGGCGGUUGGGGAUGGACUCGCGGCUUAUCAGCUUGUUCGUGUGGUAGUGGCUUACCAAGGCUUUGACGGGUAGCCGGCCUGAGAGGGUGACCGGCGACAUUGGGACUGAGAUACGGCCCAGACUCCUACGGGAGGCAGCAGUGGGGAAUAUUGCACAAUGGGCGGAAGCCUGAUGCAGCAACGCCGCGUGCGGGAUGACGGCCUUCGGGUUGUAAACCAAUUUCGCCUGUGACGAAGCGUGAAUGACGGUAAUGGGUAAAGAAGCACCGGCUAACUACGUG
rnacentral:rRNA from 1 species